rnacentral:lncRNA from 1 species
UUUAAAGAAAACUCAUUAUCUCAGUCAAUUUUGCAACAGACUGAUCAACUAUAUGCUCAAAAAAGGUGACCAAAUAUGUAUUCAGUAAGAGCAUGCUCUCUCAUAUCUCUUGUAAGUAUUUAACAACGAUUAUUUUUCGACAAGCAUUACUUGUAUCCUAAUCUUAAUUAUUAUGAUCAUCCACAAGUGCUUAGAGAUAGGUGUAAUAGAUGGCUUUGCCGUGAAGUAGUGUAAGUAUCAUAAGAGAAGCAAUGCCAUUUUAUAAUUGUGUUAUCUAGAAACUUCUUUCAACAAGAAUAAAAUUCAGUUCAAGUACUUACGUUAAGCUUUUGAUGUUAAAUAUGUGUUCUUGGAGUUACAGAGUGCCGUUGGUAUACAGACCAUAUUAAAGCUACAAAUUGAUAUACACUCGGUCAUAAACAUACUACCAAGUUUAUGCCAUUUCUGGGUGAAACUCACAUCUAAACAAAUCGCUUAGGUUAAGGAGCGUAUGGCACAGGCAGGGAAGACUCAAAAGACAUGGGCAAAAAGCAGUUUCAAGCAAAGGCGCUAGCUUCUGAGGAUACUUCGAAGUAUAUCAUUAAGCACAGGAUCAUAUGUGCGAGUAAGAACUCUUAACUGCACAUUGAUAAAGUUUGAAGAAUAAAAUAAAGGCUGUUUGUUAUGAUUUUGUUCGAUAUUUUGUAAAUGAUAUGGUCUUUGACACCUUUCAG